rnacentral:lncRNA from 1 species
GGAUUGCAGCGUCUGCUCUGCACAGUUGGCUACCUGUCCCUUGUCUUUCGAGGUGUGGCGGGUUGAGUGAUGCUAAGCACGACAAGUGUGGAGCCUGUGGUAGCUGAGGAGCUCCGAGCCGCCCGCCGACUUCCUCCACCAGCUUGUGAGCUCUGAGGAUACUAAACCCAAGAUGUAUAAUUUACUUGAGCCUCGCGCUUUGGUGGUUGUUAGGUUUUGAGGUAGGUUUCCUAUCCGCCGCGGAACCCAGGAAGACUUGAGUCAAAGCUACACAGCAUAGUAAAUUGACAGAAAAAGUACAGACGUGUUUCGAAAGCUGUUAGUGGUUUAAGUAGUAAAGAGCUUGGAAGACCUUGUCUUUGUAGGGUUGCAAGGUUUAGCAAAUACAAUUACAGGACUCAGGUAAAACUUUAAUUAAGAAGUCUUUGAACGAAGACGCUAAACCCCUCCCCAUUUUACUUAAUUGGAAGAUUAAAUUUCGCCGAGAAUUUUAUUUCUAUUUUUAUUUCUAAUAAAACUCUUAA